CCUACGGGUGGCAGCAGUGGGGAAUAUUGGACAAUGGGGGGAACCCUGAUCCAGCCAUGCCGCGUGUGUGAAGAAGGCCCUCGGGUUGUAAAGCACUUUCAGGGAGGAAGAACGCCUGGUGGUUAAUACCCAUCAGGAAAGACAUCACUCACAGAAGAAGCACCGGCUAACUCCGUGCCAGCAGCCGCGGUAAUACGGAGGGUGCGAGCGUUAAUCGGAAUUACUGGGCGUAAAGCGCGCGUAGGUGGCUUGAUAAGCCGGUUGUGAAAGCCCCGGGCUCAACCUGGGAACGGCAUCCGGAACUGUCAAGCUAGAGUGCAGGAGAGGAAGGUAGAAUUCCCGGUGUAGCGGUGAAAUGCGUAGAGAUCGGGAGGAAUACCAGUGGCGAAGGCGGCCUUCUGGACUGACACUGACACUGAGGUGCGAAAGCGUGGGUAGCAAACAGGAUUAGAUACCCUUGUAGUC
rnacentral:rRNA from 1 species